rnacentral:ncRNA from 1 species
CAAAGGUUUGGUCCUGGCUUUAUUAUCAGCUUUAGCUAAAUUUACACAUGCAGUAUCCGCACCCCUGUGAGAAUGCCCUAACAGUUCCCUGACCGGGAACAAGGAGCUGGUAUCAGGCACUUAACAUUUAGCCCACGACACCUUGCUUAGCCACACCCUCAAGGGAACUCAGCAGUGAUAAACAUUAAGCCAUAAGUGAAAACUUGACUUAGUUAAAGUUAAGAGGGCCGGUAAAACUCGUGCCAGCCACCGCGGUUAAACGAGAGGCCCAAGUUGAUAAACAUCGGCGUAAAGCGUGGUUAAAAAAUAAGUACACUAAGACCGAAUACUUUUAGUGCUGUUAUACGUAUUCAAGAGUUAGAAGUCCAACUACGAAAGUGGUCUUAAUCAAAUAUUGAACCCACGAAAGCUAUGAUACAAACUGGGAUUAGAUACCCCACUAUGCUUAGCCGUAAACAUUGAUAGUCCCCUACACCUACUAUCCGCCCGGGUACUACGAGCGUCAGCUUAAAACCCAAAGGACUUGGCGGUGCUUUAGAUCCACCUAGAGGAGCCUGUUCUAGAACCGAUAAUCCCCGUCUAACCUCACCUUUCCUUGUUUCCCCCGCCUAUAUACCGCCGUCGUAAGCUUACCCUGUGAAGGACAAAUAGUAAGCAAAAUUGGUACAACCCAAAACGUCAGGUCGAGGUGUAGCGUAUGGGAAGGGAAGAAAUGGGCUACAUUCCCUAUCUUUAAGGGAAUAACGAAUGAUAUGCUGAAACGCAUUUCUAAAGGAGGAUUUAGCAGUAAGUAGAAAAUAGAGAGUUCUGCUGAAAUUGGCCCUGAAGCGCGCACACACCGCCCGUCACUCUCCCCAAACUUUUCCCACCUAAAUAACUAAUUCAUUAUUUUUAAAAAGGGGAGGCAAGUCGUAACAUGGUAAGUGUACCGGAAGGUGCACUUGGAACAAU